rnacentral:rRNA from 1 species
UACGUAGGUGGCAAGCGUUGUCCGGAUUUAUUGGGUUUAAAGGGUGCGUAGGCGGUUUUAUAAGUCAGUGGUGAAAUACGGCAGCUUAACUGUCGAGGUGCCAUUGAUACUGUAAGACUUGAGUACUGAUGAGGUAGGCGGAAUUGACGGUGUAGCGGUGAAAUGCUUAGAUAUCGUCAAGAACACCGAUAGCGAAGGCAGCUUACUGGCUCGAUACUGACGCUGAGGUGCGAAAGCGUGGGGAGCAAACAGG